rnacentral:rRNA from 1 species
UACGAAGGGGGCAAGCGUUGUUCGGAAUUACUGGGCGUAAAGGGCGCGCAGGCGGCCGAUCAAGUCAGAUGUGAAAGCCCCGGGCUCAACCUGGGAAUAGCAUUUGGGACUGGUCGGCUAGAGUUCGGGAGAGGAGAGUGGAAUUCCCAGUGUAGAGGUGAAAUUCGUAGAUAUUGGGAAGAACACCGGUGGCGAAGGCGGCUCUCUGGACCGAUACUGACGCUGAGGCACGAAAGCGUGGGGAGCAAACAGG